AUUGAACGCUGGCGGCAGGCCUAACACAUGCAAGUCGAGCGGAUGACGGGAGCUUGCUCCUUGAUUCAGCGGCGGACGGGUGAGUAAUGCCUAGGAAUCUGCCUGGUAGUGGGGGACAACGUUUCGAAAGGAACGCUAAUACCGCAUACGUCCUACGAGAGAAAGCAGGGGACCUUCGGGCCUUGCGCUAUCAGAUGAGCCUAGGUCGGAUUAGCUAGUUGGUGAGGUAAUGGCUCACCAAGGCGACGAUCCGUAACUGGUCUGAGAGGAUGAUCAGUCACACUGGAACUGAGACACGGUCCAGACUCCUACGGGAGGCAGCAGUGGGGAAUAUUGGACAAUGGGCGAAAGCCUGAUCCAGCCAUGCCGCGUGUGUGAAGAAGGUCUUCGGAUUGUAAAGCACUUUAAGUUGGGAGGAAGGGCAGUAAGCUAAUACCUUGCUGUUUUGACGUUACCGACAGAAUAAGCACCGGCUAACUCUGUGCCAGCCGCCGCCGUAAUAC
rnacentral:rRNA from 1 species